rnacentral:rRNA from 1 species
UACAGAGGGUGCAAGCGUUGUUCGGAAUUAUUGGGCGUAAAGGGCGUGUAGGCGGCCUUGUAAGUCGGGGGUGAAAUCCACUGGCUCAACCAGUGACGUGCCUUCGAAACUGCUUGGCUUGAGUAUGGCAGAGGAGAGCGGAAUUCCAGGUGUAGCGGUGAAAUGCGUAGAUAUCAGGAGGAACACCGAUGGCGAAGGCAGGUCUCUGGGCAUUAACUGACGCUGAGGAGCGAAAGCAUGGGGAGCGAACAGG